GCUCCCGUCGUCUAGCCCGGCCGGAUAGAAGCCUUUCGAGCUUCGGACACGGGUUCAAAUCCCGUCGGGAGCA
rnacentral:tRNA from 1 species